GAUGAACGCUGACAGAAUGCUUAACACAUGCAAGUCUACUUGAAUUUGGGUUUUUUAACUUAGAUUUGGGUGGCGGACGGGUGAUUAACGCGUAAAGAACUUGCCUCACAGCUAGGGACAACACUUGGAAACGAAUGCUAAUACCUGAUAUUAUGAUUAUAAGGCAUCUUAGACUUAUGAAAGCUAUAUGCGCUGUGAGAGAGCUUUGCGUCCCAUUAGCUAGUUGGAGAGGUACCGGCUCACCAAGGCGAUGAUGGGUAGCCGGCCUGAGAGGGUGAACGGCCACAAGGGGACUGAGACACGGCCCUUACUCCUACGGGAGGCAGCAGUGGGGAAUAUUGGACAAUGGACCAAGAGUCUGAUCCAGCAAUUCUGUGUGCACGAUGACGUUUUUCGGAAUGUAAAGUGCUUUCAGUUGGGAAGAAAAAAAUGACGGUACCAACAGAAGAAGUGACGGCUAAAUACGUG
rnacentral:rRNA from 1 species